rnacentral:rRNA from 1 species
GACGAACGCUGGCGGCGUGCCUAAUACAUGCAAGUUGAGCGCUGAAGGUUGGUACUUGUACCGACUGGAUGAGCAGCGAACGGGUGAGUAACGCGUGGGGAAUCUGCCUUUGAGCGGGGGACAACAUUUGGAAACGAAUGCUAAUACCGCAUAAAAACUUUAAACACAAGUUUUAAGUUUGAAAGAUGCAAUUGCAUCACUCAAAGAUGAUCCCGCGUUGUAUUAGCUAGUUGGUGAGGUAAAGGCUCACCAAGGCGAUGAUACAUAGCCGACCUGAGAGGGUGAUCGGCCACAUUGGGACUGGGACACGGCCCAAACUCCUACGGGAGGCAGCAGUAGGGAAUCUUCGGCAAGGGACGAAAGUCUGACCGAGCAACGCCGCGUGAGAGAAGAAGGUUUUCGGAUCGUAAAACUCUGUUGGUAGAGAAGAACGUUGGUGAGAGUGGAAAGCUCAUCAAGUGACGGUAACUACCCAGAAAGGGACGGCUAACUACGUG